rnacentral:rRNA from 1 species
CGGUGCUUGCACUGGUUGGAUUAGUGGCGAACGGGUGAGUAAUACGUGAGUAACCUGCCUUUGACUCUGGGAUAAGCCUUGGAAACGAGGUCUAAUACCGGAUAUGACACAGUUUCGCAUGAAAUCUGUGUGGAAAGGGUUUGUACUGGUUUUAGAUGGGCUCACGGCCUAUCAGCUUGUUGGUGGGGUAAUGGCUCACCAAGGCGACGACGGGUAGCCGGCCUGAGAGGGUGACCGGCCACACUGGGACUGAGACACGGCCCAGACUCCUACGGGAGGCAGCAGUGGGGAAUAUUGCACAAUGGGCGCAAGCCUGAUGCAGCGACGCCGCGUGAGGGAUGACGGCCUUCGGGUUGUAAACCUCUUUCAGCAGGGGAGAAGCGAAAGUGACGGUACCUGCAGAAGAAGCGCCGGCUAACUACGUGCCAGCAGCCGCGGUAAUACGUAGGGCGCGAGCGUUGUCCGGAAUUAUUGGGCGUAAAGAGCUUGUAGGCGGUUUGUCGCGUCUGCUGUGAAAGCCCGGGGCUUAACUCCGGGUUUGCAGUGGGUACGGGCUAACUAGAGUGCAGUAGGGGAGACUGGAAUUCCUGGUGUAGCGGUGGAAUGCGCAGAUAUCAGGAGGAACACCGAUGGCGAAGGCAGGUCUCUGGGCUGUAACUGACGCUGAGAAGCGAAAGCAUGGGG